UUGAAAGGGAAACGAUUGAAGUCAGUCGUGCUGGCGCGAAAUCAACCUUCUCGUCUAGAGAUCACAUGGCGUGGCGAGCCUCAAAACCGUCACGAAGCGUGAACUCUUGGUGAAAUGGAGCACUUUCGUGUCCGCUGGUUAACAUCAAUUUCGAACGUCAUAAAAAGGCUGGAGGGAUGUGGCUCCUUCGGGAGUGUUAUAACCUUUAGCGGAAUGUGGUGUUCGGGAUUGAGGAUUGCAACGAAUACCUUUAGGGCUGUUCCACCUGGCUUCUCUUUGGUAUCCUGGUGACGACAGCUUGCUGACGUCGUUAGGAUUCGCCUUUGAACAGGCUAGAGUGUGAGCAAAUUCGUUAAGGAUGUUGACGUA
rnacentral:rRNA from 1 species